UGCCCCCAAGAACUGGACUGCCAGAAGAGCAGAGAGCACCCAGGCAGCUGAUGCCAGUCUUCCUUCUAGACAAGUGGGGGCAGCAGAGAGCCAGCUUGCAGGAACCAGUCAAGGAGGCCUUUCAGGGCCAUUCUCAAGCAAACGGCUCCAGAAGAUAUGAGACCAAGAGACUGGGCUGACAAGGCAGAAUUCUCAACAACUAGAACACCAAAAAGGAGCAGAAUGAACUGAGUGGUGUAACUCUUCUGCCUCAUGUGUGAAACAUGCCUUAUCCAAAGAUGGGCAGUGGGAAGACAGAGCCAACAGCCUAGGUGCGGAAGACUACUCGGUCAUCGGGGGCAACAAAGUCCACUGUACUCAGCACCUCUGCAAGAAAACACAAACACAUGGGGCCACCCAAUGAAGAAGCAAGUUCAACCUAGCCUAUUCCCUGGAAGAAAAUACAGCAAAAAUAUCACUUUGAAGAGGACAAAGGGAUGCUGGAAGUAUACGAUUCUUAAAGGAAAUCAAUGUGCCCAUGGAGGCUUCUGAGAUGCUAAUGAUGGUCCCUUCUUUGACCUGAUGAUGCUUAGUUACAUGGUUGAUUGCUUUACACUGUAAAGUGUUUGUUACACUGUACAUGCUUGUGGUUUUCUGCUUUAUGCACUUACAUGGUGUAGUGUUUACAUUUCACAAUUUUUAAAACCCUGAAAACAAAAGUUCAUACAAGAACCCUUGUCUAUGUUUCAGAUUUGGCCCAAAUUUUCCAAGAUGCCACUCUGAAGUUCAAUAAAGUUGCUCUUUUUUUAAUUUUA